AAUCCUCAAAAUGACGCUACUCCUAUUUACAGUUUGUAUAUCGCCGUCUUCAGCAUUCAUUUUAGAUGAGUUCGGAACGUUCCUAAACAAAAAGACAGGUUCUGAUGCAGCCUAUAUAGGAGUCCAAGGUGAGUUACAAUAAAAAUUCUAUUUGGAUUUAUUUUGAAAAGAAAAUAAUGAAGCUGGACUUGAUAGUAACAUCUAUAAUAAACAUUACUUGAACUUUCAACCUAGCCUGCACACACCGCCCGUCACCC
rnacentral:rRNA from 1 species